rnacentral:rRNA from 1 species
GCUUUCGGGCUUCGACCGGCGUACGGGUGCGUAACGCGUAUACAAUCUGCCUUUCACAUAGGGAUAGCCCGAAGAAAUUUGGAUUAAUACCUAAUGGUAUAUAAGUGUGGCAUCACAUUUAUAUUAAAGCUGAGGCGGUGAAAGAUGAGUAUGCGUUCUAUUAGCUAGUUGGAGAGGUAACGGCUCCCCGAGGCUACGAUAGAUAGGGGUUCUGAGAGGGAUAUCCCCCACACUGGUACUGAGAUACGGACCAGACUCCUACGGGAGGCAGCAGUGAGGAAUAUUGGACAAUGGUCGGAAGACUGAUCCAGCCAUGCCGCGUGCAGGAAGACGGCCUUAUGGGUUGUAAACUGCUUUUGCAGGGGAAGAAUAAGGAGUACGUGUACUUUGAUGACGGUACUCUGCGAAUAAGCAUCGGCUAACUCCGUGCCAGCAGCCGCGGUAAUACGGAGGAUGCGAGCGUUAUCCGGAAUCAUUGGGUUUAAAGGGUCCGUAGGCGGGCUAAUAAGUCAGAGGUGAAAGCGCUCAGCUCAACUGAGCAACUGCCUUUGAAACUGUUAGUCUUGAAUGGUUGUGAAGUAGUUGGAAUGUGUAGUGUAGCGGUGAAAUGCUUAGAUAUUACACAGAACACCGAUAGCGAAGGCAUAUUACUAACAAUUAAUUGACGCUGAUGGACGAAAGCGUGGGGAGCGAACAGGAUUAGAUACCCUGGUAGUCCACGCUGUAAACGAUGGAUACUAGCUGUUUGGUUGUAAGACUGAGUGGCU